GACGAACGCUGGCGGCGUGCUUAACACAUGCAAGUCGAACGGAAAGGCCCUGCAUUUGUGGGGUGCUCGAGUGGCGAACGGGUGAGUAACACGUGAGUAACCUGCCCUUGACUUUGGGAUAACUUCAGGAAACUGGGGCUAAUACCGGAUAGGAGCUCCUGCUGCAUGGUGGGGGUUGGAAAGUUUCGGCGGUUGGGGAUGGACUCGCGGCUUAUCAGCUUGUUGGUGGGGUAGUGGCUUACCAAGGCUUUGACGGGUAGCCGGCCUGAGAGGGUGACCGGCCACAUUGGGACUGAGAUACGGCCCAGACUCCUACGGGAGGCAGCGGUGGGGAAUAGUGCAAAAUGGGCGGAAGCCUGAUGCAGCAACGCCGCGUGCGGGAUGACGGCCUUCGGGUUGUAAACCGCUUUCGCCUGUGACGAAGAGUGAGUGACGGUAAUGGGUAAAGAAGCAACGGCUAACUACGUG
rnacentral:rRNA from 1 species